rnacentral:rRNA from 1 species
UACGUGCCGUUGUCGUUGGGAGAAGCCUGGGUAGCUGGGUCUAAUACCGAAUAUUCUGCUCUUGGCGCAUGGUGGGGGUUGGAAAGGGUUUCUGGAUAGGGAUGGGCUCACGGCCUAUCAGCUUGUUGGUGGGGUGAUGGCCUACCAAGGCGUCGACGGGUAGCCGGCCUGAGAGGGUGACCGGCCACAUUGGGACUGAGAUACGGCCCAGACUCCUACGGGAGGCAGCAGUGGGGAAUAUUGCACAAUGGACGCAAGUCUGAUGCAGCGACGCCGCGUGGGGGAUGAAGGCUUUCGGGUUGUAAACUCCUUUCAGUACAGAACAAGGCCUUUUGGUUGAGGGUAUGUGCAGAAGAAGCGCCGGCUAACUACGUGCCAGCAGCCGCGGUAAUACGUAGGGCGCGAGCGUUGUCCGGAAUUAUUGGGCGUAAAGAGCUCGUAGGCGGUUUGUUGCGCCUGCUGUGAAAGACCGGGGCUUAACUUCGGGGUUGCAGUGGGUACGGGCAGACUAGAGUGUGGUAGGGGUAAUUGGAAUUCCUGGUGUAGCGGUGGAAUGCGCAGAUAUCAGGAGGAACACCGAUGGCGAAGGCAGGUUACUGGGCCACCACUGACGCUGAGGAGCGAAAGCGUGGGUAGCGAACAGGAUUAGAUACCCUGGUAGUCCACGCCGUAAACGUUGGGCACUAGGUGUGGGGCCUUUUCCACGGGUUCUGCGCCGUAGCUAACGCAUUAAGUGCCCCGCCUGGGGAGUACGGCCGCAAGGCUAAAACUCAAAGGAAUUGACGGGGGCCCGCACAAGCGGCGGAGCAUGCGGAUUAAUUCGAUGCAACGCGAAGAACCUUACCAAGGCUUGACAUACACUGCGAUGUGCCAGAGAUGGUGCASCCUUCCGGGGUGGUGUACAGGKGGUGCAUGGUUGUCSUCARCUCSKGUCSKGARAUGUUGGGUUAAGUCCCGCMACSARCGCMACCCUUGUCCUGUGKUGCCMGCAAUUCGGUUGGGGACUCMCGGGAGAMUGCCGGGGUUAACUCGGAGGAAGGUGGGGAUGACGUCAAAUCAUCAUGCCCCUUAUGUCUUGGGCUUCACGCMUGCUACAAUGGCCGGUACAGAGGGUUGCGAGCCUGUGAGGGUGAGCUAAUCUCUUAAA